UGGCUCAGAAUAACGCUGGCGGCGUGCCUCAGACAUGCAAGUCGAACGCGAAAGUCCCCUUCGGGGGGCAAGUAGAGUGGCGCACGGGUGAGUAACACGUAGGUAAUCUACCUUUGGAUUGGGAAUAACCACCGGAAACGGUGGCUAAUACCGAAUAAUGCAGCGGCACCUAAUGGUGACAGUUGUUAAAGCGGGGGAUCGCAAGACCUCGCGUCUGAAGAGGAGCCUGCGGCAGAUUAGCUAGUUGGUAAGGUAACGGCUUACCAAGGCGAUGAUCUGUAGCCGGCCUGAGAGGGCGGUCGGCCACACUGACACUGACAUACGGGUCAGACUCCUACGGGAGGCAGCAGUCGGGAAUUUUGGGCAAUGGGCGAAAGCCUGACCCAGCAACGCCGCGUGAAGGAUGAAAUCCCUCGGGAUGUAAACUUCGCAAGAACGGGAAGAAUAAGUAAGGGUUAAUAUCUCUUACGAUGACGGUACUGUUUGUAAGCUCCGGCUAACUCCGUGCCAGCAGCCGCGGUAAUACGGGGGGAGCAAGCGUUGUUCGGAUUUACUGGGCGUAAAGGGCGCGUAGGCGGCCACCGCAAGUCGACUGUGAAAUCUCCGGGCUUAACCCGGAACGGUCAGCCGAUACUGCGGGGCUAGAGUGCAGAAGGGGCAACUGGAAUUCUCGGUGUAGCGGUGAAAUGCGUAGAUAUCGAGA
rnacentral:rRNA from 1 species